GUGUUGUAUGAAAGGAGAGAAGAUUAGCACUCCCCUUGAGAAGGAUGGAAGAGGUCCUAGUGACCUUUACAAUACGCAUAUGGUUAAGACAUUGCCACUUACAUGUGGGUUUUUGUGGGUUUUUUU
rnacentral:ncRNA from 1 species